rnacentral:rRNA from 1 species
UACGUAUGGUGCAAGCGUUAUCCGGAUUUACUGGGUGUAAAGGGAGCGCAGGCGGCACGGCAAGCCUGAUGUGAAAGCCCGCGGCCCAACCGCGGGACUGCAUUGGGAACUGCCGGGCUGGAGUGCCGGAGAGGUAGGCGGAAUUCCUAGUGUAGCGGUGAAAUGCGUAGAUAUUAGGAGGAACACCAGUGGCGAAGGCGGCCUGCUGGACGGUGACUGACGCUGAGGCUCGAAAGCGUGGGGAGCAAACAGG